AUCUUCAUCAAACAUCAAUAUUACCCACCAGUCAUCUAGUAUUUGACGUUUGUAAGGAAAAAGAUGAAGACCAAUCAGCUUGCCCUGGUUGCAAUUUCCCUCAUGGUGCUAUGUUUAGACAUAUCAGGGAAGGUUUCAGCUACUGAAGAGUGUCAUGCUGCACCAAUCACAGAAGUACCAAAACCAUGCGUUGAUGCAACCUGCAAAGCGAUAUGCUCAGAUAAGUACCAAAGCAAAGGCGAGUGCUUCAGUACUGAUGGGCUUUAUUACUGCAACUUUUGUGCGAAUAGCCCUCCACUUCCACAAAUUGGGCUGAAUUGAAGUACUGAGUUAGCUAUCUCGUUAACACAAAAUGGUGUGAUGUGCAGCUCAUUCCAUGUGCUUAAUUAAUAAUUACAGAAGAUUUGUAAUUUGUCUUAUCAGCGGAACUGUGUUUGAGGCAUAUAUAAGGGUGAUAAUUGGUUGCAGUUCAUUUUCUUCGAUUUCA